rnacentral:hammerhead_ribozyme from 1 species
GCAUUGAUGAGGAGUCUUACAAUAGGACGAAACCAUCGUCUAAUAC